rnacentral:rRNA from 1 species
GAUGAACGCUGGCGGCAGGCUUAACACAUGCAAGUCGAGCGGGGUGAUGGUGCUUGCACUAUCACUUAGCGGCGGACGGGUGAGUAAUGCUUAGGAAUCUGCCUAUUAGUGGGGGACAACAUCUCGAAAGGGAUGCUAAUACCGCAUACGUCCUACGGGAGAAAGCAGGGGAUCACUUGUGACCUUGCGCUAAUAGAUGAGCCUAAGUCGGAUUAGCUAGUUGGUGGGGUAAAGGCCUACCAAGGCGACGAUCUGUAGCGGGUCUGAGAGGAUGAUCCGCCACACUGGGACUGAGACACGGCCCAGACUCCUACGGGAGGCAGCAGUGGGGAAUAUUGGGCAAUGGGGGGAACCCUGAUCCAGCCAUGCCGCGUGUGUGAAGAAGGCCUUAUGGUUGUAAAGCACUUUAAGCGAGGAGGAGGCUCUUUUGGUUAAUACCCAAGAUGAGUGGACGUUACUCGCAGAAUAAGCACCGGCUAACUCUGUGCCAGCCGCCGCAGUAA